AUGCCCAGUUAAAUUUAAAUUUCUAAGAACAAAUAACUUUCUAGUAUAAGUGUGUCCCAUGUAAUAUUUGGGAUAUACUUAUACUAAAAAAUUCAUUGUCAAAAUGAAAUUCUAAUGU
rnacentral:miRNA from 1 species